rnacentral:lncRNA from 10 species
ACCACCAAAAAUCUAAUACUCUUUAUUAAAGAGAUAAUAAUGAAUUACUUCUGAUAAAGGAAAAUAAUCCCAGAAGAUAGUCGAUAUGAGAAAAGGGGAUCAAAGUUAAAUGUAACUAAGGUUCUGAAGUUUUUCCCUAACUAUGAGGUUACCACAUUCAUCUCACAAGCAAGUGGUCCUCAGUUUAAAAUCAGAGAGUGAGGCUGGCUCUUAUCCUUGGCCCUAAAUGACUUCCCAGUAGUUGACAGUUCAGCUCCUGAGAUUCAGUGGCAAAAUAGGCUGGCAUGUUUAACUAAUAAUGAAAUGUUGGUUGGUCAAACCCACCCUGGAAUUAGCUCUUAGUAAGUUGUGCUGGUCUUUUCCUGAUGCUACUUUUUUCUUUCUUUCUAUUAGAAUAACUCACUUGACUUAUGUUCUCACCUGGCUCAAAUAGUAUGUUUUGCGCCUAGUGAUGACAUUCCCCUACUCCCCGCACCAAUCCAGGGCCUUAGUUGAGAAGUCACUAUUGCAGCCACUGAAGCUGAGGCUGAAUCUUGACAUCUCUGAGUCACCCUUUCUUAAAAGCAAUAUCUUAAGAAGUUUUUUCCUACAAUACUUCUCAGCUAGCCUUUAAUACUGGGCAAUAUCCAAGUCAAAUAAGAACCCUCACUUCUCUCUUUGUUCAAUCACUCCCAAGGUGAGUUCUCCACUCUUAGAGAAUCUUGCAGGUAAAAUGUUGGCUUGAGCCUGAGGUAUAAUAGCUUAUUUUUACUAGCAUUUUGUUUGUUCAACUGGUUUGGCAUUUGGGAAGAGAGAUUCUACAGUCCUUUUUAAAGCCAUUAACUUCACACUAGAAUUAAAAUACAUUUCUAAAGGGGAAGGAAAAAACAUCUGCCUAAUGUUUAGAUAAUGCAGUAGCUUGGAAGAUGCAAACUGGGGCAAUUAGUGCACUGAAAACUUUAUCCAAGGAAACUCCCUAGUGUGCAGGAUAAAGAGGUAAGUAAUGAAAAAUGAGACGUUAGCAAACACACAGGAUAGAAUUAGAAGAUUCAAUACACUCUAUAGAAGUAGAUUAAUAUAUGCUAUACAGAAGAUAAAUUAUUCAAAAAAUGGCUGAAAUGUUCCAAUAUUGAAGAAAAACAAGAAGAUACGUCACUGAAGGAGUACCUCUAAUACCAAGCUGGCUGCGGAGCACACUUGCAUUCUUGCACUUGACACACCAUAUGGAAUCUGGUUGUGUGUAAAACAGAGAAUUGACAUCAACCUGAAGCACAUGGAACAAGAGCAAAGGACUGAAUAAUAUACAAAAAAGACAGGUGUUUCAGCAAAGCAACUGACCAGCAUUCCUUCCUGAUAAGAAACCGCCAUCCAUGGAGUGGUUCUGGCCAGUCUAUGGAGAAUGUAGUGAAGGUUUUCAUGUCUUCUGCUUCACUUUUUGACAUUAGAAGGCCAAAAUCUCCACCUUGGAUUAUGCUAACACCUCCAUUUAUUGAACAAGGGUCAUGUCCCUUGUCCCAUGAACAAGGACAAAAAGCAUGAAGUUCAACUGUGCAUGUGCAUGUUUCUCCUUUCAUAAAUAUUCAUGACUGUUCCCAUAGCUUAUUGAAUAUGUAUAUCUGGCCACCCCAUUCAGCAUAAAUUCCUGCCUUACUCUUCAAGUGUCAUUCCAGGAUUCUGACCGGAGGGAGGCGACACUUCCCAGCCUGUCAGAAUGGCCACCCUGCAGGCUGCAACUCUUUAUGGGAAAUAAAGCUCUCCUUUCCAAAU